CCUACGGGUGGCAGCAGUGGGGAAUAUUGGACAAUGGGGGCAACCCUGAUCCAGCCAUGCCGCGUGUGUGAAGAAGGCCCUCGGGUUGUAAAGCACUUUCAGUGAGGAAGAACGCCUGGUGGUUAAUACCCAUCAGGAAAGACAUCACUCACAGAAGAAGCACCGGCUAACUCCGUGCCAGCAGCCGCGGUAAUACGGAGGGUGCGAGCGUUAAUCGGAAUUACUGGGCGUAAAGCGCGCGUAGGUGGCUUGAUAAGCCGGUUGUGAAAGCCCCGGGCUCAACCUGGGAACGGCAUCCGGAACUGUCAAGCUAGAGUGCAGGAGAGGAAGGUAGAAUUCCAGGUGUAGCGGUGAAAUGCGUAGAGAUCGGGAGGAAUACCAGUGGCGAAGGCGGCCUUCUGGACUGACACUGACACUGAGGUGCGAAAGCGUGGGUAGCAAACAGGAUUAGAAACCCCAGUAGUC
rnacentral:rRNA from 1 species